GCGACGUCGUCGGAGGCGGCGUCGCGAUGGUUACGAUGGAGGGUAAGGAGAAGAUCGUGAUAAAAAAAAUUAUAAAGAGAAAAAAAAUAAAAAUAAUAAAAUAUAAAAAUAAAAAAUAUUUUUUUACUACAGAAAAUACAAAAAUUUAUAGAAGAAGAAAAAAGAUGACGAAAUUACACCGUUAAAAUAAAGUUAUACUGUUUUAAAAAAAAUUACACUAUUUUAAAUAAAAAUUGUACUUUUUGAGAAAAAAAUUAUACUUUUUAGGAUGAGAGUUAUACACUAUUUAGACUAAAUUUGCACUCUCUAGAUGAAUCUUACACUAUUUUAUUUUUUUUUUUCCUUUUUCUUUCUCCUCUUUCCUCUUAUCCCCAUCCGCAGGACGCUGUAGCCGCGGCCCUCAAGCCAAUCCACGGUAGAUGCAGCAACUAUCCGACGUUCAAUUUUCGCAGGCUGUGGAUAUGUACAUGUGUUGAACGGUGUAAGGUCAGGUUCAAAAGUAAUUAAUUAUGUGAACAGCAAAGAGAAUUACCAAAAACUAGAAAAGAAAAAAAGACUUCCACAACUUCCACGUAAUAACAUCAGCGAGGUAAUUAAUUAUGUGAACUGAAAAAAAAUACCAGACAAAAAAAAAAAAAAAAAAAAAAAAAAUUGGGGGAGGAUCGACGCGGGAUCUCACCUUGGUAUUUUGUCACUCCGCCGCUACCGACACCUCCGUCUCCUCCUCCUCCUCCUCCUGCUCCUUGUUCCUGUACUUGUACAACUCCGCCUCCUCCUACAACUCCACCUCCUCCUUCACCAUCACCUCCACCUUCUUCUCCUAUUACAUUAACUGGGGAGGAUUUUGUCACCUUCGCCGUGGUCGAUGCUUUCUCU
rnacentral:lncRNA from 1 species